ensembl:lncRNA
GAAACAGGUCUACAGUCUGCCGACUGCAAGAAAACUGGAUUCUCCAACCAUUGGUGAGCUUGCUCUGCGUGACAACAUGUCCCAGCUGACACUUGGAUUUUAGCUUUGUGGCACCAUGAAUAGAGGACCCAGCAUGUUGUGCCCAGACUUCUGGCCUAUAAAACUGGGAGCUUCUGGACACUGCUGGAUUGGCGAGCAAGAGAGGAAGGACCGGGCUCGAACAGGGCUUCCUGCAUCCAGACCUGGAGCCUUUCUGGGGAAACUUGGAUCUGCAGAGCAGCAGCCUAGGCUGGCAACAGGCUGCCUCAGCUCCCGUGGGAGCAGAAGAAAGAGCAGCUGGUGACAGGGCCUAUGAAGAACCAUAGGAAACAUCUUGCUGAUCCCUCCAACCUCACCAUUAGGCUGUAUCCUUAAUAACUGCAAGCAGUUUGAGCUUGAUAACCUGAUAAAGAAACAGCUUAUUUUCUAUUGCUAUACAGUUUGGUUCCAAUAUAGACUAGGGGAUGAAGAACAAUGGCCAGAAAAUGGCAAUAUAAGUUAUAACACUAUUCUCUGGCUAGCUCUCCAGGGAGGCCUGAGACCCCUCAACCUUCUCCCGGUGACCCUCAGCCACAUUGCUGUACACAGAGUGCCGCUUCUAACUCUUCUAACUCUAACUACUUACCCUGCUUCUGAGGGAGGUCACUGGGUGGAAGGGACUUUUGGAGCCUUAAGUCCCCCUUUUAGUUGCAG